GAGGUUUCUGGGAGCCAAGAGUGGUAAUGGCGUCUGUAUGAUCUUCGGAGCCUGCUGCAUCGGACCUCGGCCAGUCAUAAAAGAUGACAACAGCAGCCAGGCCAACCUUUGAACCUGCCAGAGGUGGAAGGGGAAAAGGAGAAGGUGAUUUGAGCCAACUUUCAAAGCAGUAUUCAAGCAGAGACCUACCCUCUCAUACAAAGAUAAAAUACAGACAGACUACUCAGGAUGCCCCUGAAGAGGUUCGUAACCGUGACUUCAGGAGAGAGUUGGAAGAAAGAGAGAGAGCUGCUGCAAGAGAGAAAAAUAGGGAUCGUCCAACCCGAGAUUGAUGUGAGCUGUACUACUUUCUUAGGUCAUUAGAGAUAAUAACAACAAAUAUUUACCAAAGGCUUAUUUGCCCAGGCACUGUGGAUGUGAGUUCACUGUGGAUAAUGCUUUUAAUGUGGGCUCCUUGUGCUCACAGGUCCCUAAAACAUUUUAAGAAAUGAAGUAUUUGUUUUACUAAGUUAAAUGAUUUUUGUUUCCCCCCAGAACAUACAACCUCCUCUUCAGUGUCAAAAAAGCCACGGUUAGACCAGAUUCCUGCCGCCAACCUUGAUGCAGAUGACCCUCUAACAGAUGAGGAAGAUGAAGAUUUUGAAGAAGAAAGUGAUGAUGAUGAUACUGCAGCUCUUCUUGCAGAACUGGAAAAAAUUAAAAAAGAAAGAGCUGAAGAGCAGGCCAGGAAGGAACAAGAACAAAAAGCUGAAGAAGAGAGGAUUCGUAUGGAAAACAUUCUGAGCGGAAACCCUCUCCUUAAUCUCACUGGCCCAUCCCAGCCUCAGGCCAACUUCAAAGUUAAAAGAAGGUGGGAUGAUGACGUUGUCUUCAAGAACUGUGCAAAAGGUGUAGAUGACCAGAAGAAAGACAAAAGAUUUGUAAAUGACACACUGCGAUCUGAAUUUCACAAAAAGUUCAUGGAGAAAUAUAUUAAAUAGUACAGUUUUAUGUGCUUAAUUAAAGACUGUAAAACGUAAAGGA
rnacentral:lncRNA from 1 species